AUUGAACGCUGGCGGCGGGCUUAACACAUGCAAGUCGAGCGGAGCGAGGGUGCUUGCACCUUAGCUUAGCGGCGGACGGGUGAGUAAUGCUUAGGAAUCUGCCUAUUAGUGGGGGACAACAUUCCGAAAGGGAUGCUAAUACCGCAUACGCCCUACGGGGGAAAGCAGGGGAUCUUCGGACCUUGCGCUAAUAGAUGAGCCUAAGUCGGAUUAGCUAGUUGGUGGGGUAAAGGCCUACCAAGGCGACGAUCGGUAGCGGGUCUGAGAGGAUGAUCCGCCACACUGGGACUGAGACACGGCCCAGACUCCUACGGGAGGCAGCAGUGGGGAAUAUUGGACAAUGGGCGGAAGCCUGAUCCAGCCAUGCCGCGUGUGUGAAGAAGGCCUUUUGGUUGUAAAGCACUUUAAGCGAGGAGGAGGCUACUAGUAUUAAUACUACUGGAUAGUGGACGUUACUCGCAGAAUAAGCACCGGCUAACUCUGUGCCAGCCGCCGCGGUAA
rnacentral:rRNA from 1 species